rnacentral:lncRNA from 1 species
AUCUGGACUUCUACGGCAAUCGAUCUCCAUCCGAGCUUCUACGAUAAGCGGUCUCCAUCCGAACUUCUACGGUAACCGAUCUUCAUCCGAGCUUCUAUGAUAAGCGGUCUCCAUCUGGACUUCUACGGCAACCAAUUUCCAUCCGAGCUUCUACGAUAAGCGGUCUCCAUCCGAACUUCUAUGGCAAUCGAUCUCCAUCUGAGCUUCUACGAUAAGCGAUCUCCAUCCGAACUUCUACGGCAACCGGUCUUCAUCCGAGCUUCUAUGAUAAGCGGUCUCCAUCUAGACUUCUACG